UACGGGGGGGGCAAGCGUUGUUCGGAAUUACUGGGCGUAAAGGGCUCGUAGGCGGCCAACUAAGUCCGACGUGAAAUCCCCGGGCUCAACCCGGGAACUGCGUCCGAUACUGGAAGGCUUGAAUCCGGGAGAGGGAUGCGGAAUUCCAGGUGUAGCGGUGAAAUGCGUAGAUAUCAGGAGGAACACCGAUGGCGAAGGCAGGUCUCUGGGCCAUAACUGACGCUGAGAAGCGAAAGCAUGGGGAGCGAACAGG
rnacentral:rRNA from 1 species